CGGCCGUAUAUUGUUGAAACACCGGUUCUCGUGCGAUUAUCGAAGUUAAGCAACGUCGAGCCUGGUCAGUACCCUUAUGGGUGACUGCUUGAGAAUACUAGGCGGUGUAAG